GCACCCAGCGUGCUCCGCGGCCCUCGCGUCUUCAAGAUGGCGGCGCCCAGGGGUGGUUCAGGCCUGGAUACGGAUUCGGACUCGGACAGCAGCGGCGAGGCGGCGGCGCGGUUCCGAGAGGCCGCCUGGGACUGCGCUGCGCAGGCGGCGGCGUCGUCGGUGCGGGCGGAGCCGCGCGGUGGUGAUUUUAAAAGGCAUCGGUUACAGCAACAGCCUGCUCAGCCUAGCCUAAGGCAUGAGUUGAACGGUCAUGAAGAGGAUGGAAAUGAGCUACAGACAACACCAGAGUUCAGAGCACAUGUAGCAAAGAAACUGGGAGCAAUGCUAGACAGGCCUGUUUCCUGGAAAUACCCAACUUUAGCUCAGUUUGCACAGAUCUGUCCAAGGCCUGACUGGGGUUUUCUGUUUAGUUUCAUCACUGUCCUGAAGGACUCAUCAGGACCCGCACAAACGUCUGGGCAACAGUCAGACUCUGCAGAUGAUGGGUUUCGCCUCUUCUCCUCCUCUGUCCCAGGAGACUGUGGGAAAUCAGAGCCUUGCCCUGCAGCAAGGAGGAGGCAGCCAUCUAGCUCCAGUGAGAUGGACAGUGACCAAGAGUGGCAAAGGUACCAAGAGGCUGCUGUGUCAGCCACAGACAUCAUGAAGCAAAGUGCUUUUCCUGCACUGUGCCAGGAUUCCAGCCAGGAUCAGAGUCGGGGUUAUGUAGAGCACAGCCAGAAAAAAAAGAAGAAGAAGAAGAAAAUGAAAAUUAGGGGAGAGAACAAUAUUCAGGAGACAUUAAUAGAGCCAGCAGAGUGUGAUGAGAUCUGCAGAGAUUUGCCACAGUUGAUGUGUGCAAAUGGACAGCAUGAGAGACAGGACUGCAGUCACCCAGAGAACUUGGUGUUGCCAGGAGCUGUGAAGAAGAAAAAGAAGAGAAAAAAAGAAUGAGGCUUUUCCUCUGGAAGCGGCAGGCAAGAGAAACCUUCAUUUCCCUGAGGUGGGUUCUGAAUUGCUGCUUUGGACCAGACCUUGCUUAAGCAGAGGUUCAGAGAAGUACUCAGGACCAUCCUCUGGCCCUUUCGUGUGGAGCCUGCUAGACAACCCUCACUGAUGGCAGUGCAGAGCCUGGAGCGGGGCUAGGCAGAGAGCAGGCAAGGUAAGACCAUCCCAUCAGGGUUCUUUUCUAUUGAACUUGGCCUGGUUUGCCUCAUCUUGCUUUAUAUGUGGAAAUGAAAGGGGUGUGGCAGCUUCAUCUCCAGAUUCCCCAACUAGAGCCAUUCUAAGGGCAGGAAAAGACCGAACCUUUAUCAUUUUAUCUUUUGUUUUCUUUUUUCCCCUCAUGGAAUAUGUGCUUUUAUCCCUGCCUCCAGGGGAAGUCUGUUGCUUAUCUCAAUUUCUCUCUUUCCUCAUGGAAUUUCACCCCUUGCCCUACAGGUGGAUUGCUGCUCUACCUCCCUCCGUUUGCUGUACCUGUGAUAGUGUGAUCCGUCCCUUCCCCCAAGGUAGCCUCUCUCUGGGAAUAUCAGGGGAUUACUCCACACAGCUCUAUCUCCCUACUGAGUUAGUUAUUCUUUAUCAUAGCUGCAAUUUGUUCUCUGUGUGGAGUAAUAGGGAAAGAAUGUUUUUAUUCAAACUGUAAACCUAUGGAUGAUCAGCAAGACAGAUUGAAGGACAGCAAGAGAUGUUGGGAAUUCCUCACUAGAGAAACCUUUGUCUGGACUACCUUUGGCAUUGUUUUGUUCUGUAGGGACAAACUCUAAUCAAUCCCCACAGGUUCAUACCAUCAUGGGGAUGUAUCUUCUCUACAUCCUGUUUUACACAGCUUUGACCAGUGCUUUCCAAACUGUGGUUUCAGCCGUAAUAGUCCUGCAAGGACGUACUUGGUCUCUUGGUGUUGCCAUUUUUUUCCUUCCCAGCUCCUGGAAAGCCUGUCAAUGGACACUUUCCUAAUUCUACCUUAUAGGCAAUGGCUGCAGUUACCACAAAGACUUUCUUGUAUCACUAAUAGCUGCCCACAAGUCAAUCUCUGAGUUAAAAUGUGGUCUACAGCAUUAGGUCAGGAAUUGUUAAUAACGCCAAGAGGCUUCUGCCUGAGGGUAGAAGUGCUUCUAUCUGGUUUCUGGUUUGGAAUCCUAGUGUAGAUGCUGAAAUAACUUCUAAGCAUUGAAUAUUUACUGGGAAUCUCCGUGCAUGGAGAUUCUCGCCUGCCAGUUCUUUUAUCUGUAAACUGUUCUGCCUGCCUUACAAUGCUUACAGUACUGUUCUAAGGACAUUACCUCUAGGCAUCUCUAAUGGAAAGGUUUGGUCUUAAGAAACAAACAAAGUUUAUUAGUAGGUAACAACUGCUUGCAAGUUAUUGAACCCUGAUAGUGGAUCAGACACUUUGAAUAGGCUCUCAGACAUGCAGCUGCUCUGUUUUAAUAUUUGAGUAGGAAUUUUAAUCCUGUCAAUACAGACUUCCUACUGUUCUCAUUUUACCUUGACUAAUUUUGAUCUGUUACAAUCCUCCAUAAGUAUAUUCAUAUUUUUUUGCUGAAACUGAGGCCUCUGGUCCCUUCAUACUGUCCCCAACUGCAGAAGCGAGUUGCUCUAUCCUGUGAUAGAGGGGACUGAGGAAAGACAACUCUGAUGUUUCAGUCUAAAGCUUUGCAAGUAAGACCCAGUAUAAGGCUUUGGAGAUCCUUGUUCUUGCCCAGUCCUCUCUGUGCUAUCUUAGGGUUUUAGAGAGGUCAUAGAAUCAUUCUGUACCUCAGUUCCCAUUUGUAAAAUGGGAAUGCUGCUCAAGUGACUGUAUGGAGAGAGGUGUGAGACUGUUCAUCGGAAAGCAUUACUAUCACAGGUUUGCAAGAGAGGUGAGACUGUUGUGGUGAGGCUGGUAGUAAGCACAGGAAAGACUGGCUGCAAGCUCCUAAAAAGGCAGGGAGGAUCAGAAACCAGGAUUCAUGCUGGUGAGGGUGGCAGGAAGGAAUUCCCUUCAUCUGCAUAUCUGUUCUUAGAUCACAGCAGAUGGCACUUUAAUCCUGCUUCACCCAUUCAUUACAAAGCGAGGUGCUGCUCUUCACCUUCCAUGGCUUCCUUAGUGGAGAGAUACCUGAUAAACCAUCAGAAGUUAAUGAUCAAAAAGCUUAUCAGGGUCUUUUCAUCUAUAAAUUUAUAAGACAAAAGAGAAAUAAUAAAGCCAUUGGAUAAUUAGUAACUAGCCAGGGCCCGCCCGGUGCCACUGGGCUCAAACUACCCCAAGACCUGUACGCAGACUCAGGAAGAUGAGAAGGAGACAAGGAUGAGAGGAAGAAAAAGAGGGUAAGGGAGAGAGAGAAUUAGCCAAGAAAAAACAAAAUGGGGGGAAUAGAAGCAGAGAUAAAAGUGAAGAGAGAAAGGAAACAUGUAAAAAGAAUGGAAAAGUCAUAAAGAAAACAGAGGAGCCUAAAAGAUGUGACACAGCUGUGAGUGGGAAGAGAUGAGACACGUAUUGGGCCAGAAAGAAGAUGGAGAUUUUGGGAAUGUUUUCCCCACCCAGAUGGCAGCCGAGUACCAGCUCACCUCCCUACAGUGAGUUCAAAAAGGCUUGGGUGGAUCCAGAAGACUUUGUGUGGCUAAAAAGAGCAUUUUUGGAGUCCAUGUAAAAACGUUUAAUGUAAGAAGUUUUCAUGUGAACAUUCAUUGAGCUUCUAAAGAUGGUUUUUAGUAUGUAAAGAAUGGUGAGGGUUUUUUUGGCAUUCCUGUCAAUAUUUUGAUUUCGUUUCCAUGCAUUUUAUUUUUUUAUUACAGUUUUUCUCAUCUCUCCACCCAGGUAGACACACCAAUAUUACUGGCUGAUAACACUAAUUGUCAGUUGUAAUUACACUUUCCAACCGUGACACAGAGUUUCUGUAUGGUAUGUCCUUAUAAUUCAAGGACUCUGCAAACAGAACAGAUAGUGGGGCUCCUGCAAUAUGUGACGGAGGAGAUUCUGUCAUACUGUGUUGUUUAUUUCUGCCUGUCUUUGACAUGCUCAUUUCUUUUACCUAAACUAUGAUGGAAAAUAUUACCAUUGCUGUUGUUCAAAUGAUUGUCAAAUCUGUGUUCUGUAAGAAUAUAUAAUAUAGCUGGGGGAUGCUUGAGGGGAUGUGGACACAAACCAUUAAGUUUAGACAAAGAACAGUGAUAUUUGCCAAUGGGAACUGUAAAGAGAAGAAAACAUAGCAACAAAUGAUCUAUCUGUAUUAUGUGGUUUCAAAGAUUCCUUAUGCUCCCAGAAGUCCUGAUGCUGGUGCUUCUGUUUGCCUUGAAGACCUUCAGCUGUGGAGGCUUUUAGAACAGCCUAUCUUGAAACCAGUGAAGUCUGAAGUCUAUCAAACCAGAAAUGAACAUCUGUUUGUAUGUUAGGACCUCACUGAACAUUACAACUGGAUGCCAUGUGGAAAAUCCUCAGCUGAAUAUGUAAGCCUUUCAAAUACUGAGGAGGAGGUAAAUAAAUGUUCUCUAUCAGUUUGUCCUGAAGGGCUUUCUGGUCUAUUAGAAUUGUCCAUUUUAAACUGGAGGAGCCUGGACAAUUAACAAAACAAGCAAACUUCCAUGCUUCCAUCUUUACCUUCACUGUAACCUGCCAGACUGUGCUAGUGGAUAAUUCAGCACUCCAGUUAAGUAUUUCAGAUUCUUCAGUGCAGGAAAAACAAUGAGCUUUUCAGUGUUUCUUAAAUGUUGCAAGUUGCUAGUGGUCAGACUGAAGGAGAUUCCUGUUGUGAAUUAGCCAGCACCCCUACUUUAUACCCUGGCACUAAGGAUUAUAC